UGACUACAGGGGUAUCUAAUCCCUUUCGCUACCCUAGCUUUCGUCCCUGAGUGUCAGUUUUGGUCCAGUAGCACGCCUUCGCCACCGAUGUUCUUCCAAAUAUCUACGCAUUUCACCGCUACACUGGGAAUUCCCGCUACCCCUACCGAACUCUAGUCUCUCAGUUUCCACCGCCUGCCCAGAGUUAAGCUCUGGUCUUUGACAGCAGGCUUGAAAGACCACCUGCGGACGCUUUACGCCCAAUAAUUCCGGAUAACGCUUGCAUCCUCCGUAUUACCG
rnacentral:rRNA from 1 species